rnacentral:lncRNA from 1 species
CUUUGCCUUGAUGACCGCUUUGCACACUCUCUUAGCUAGCUAGUUUAUGUCUUAAGGUUACUCUGCAGCACAGAGAGUGGUAGCUAACUAUAGUUAAAGUUAUCGUAGCUUUAUAGAACGAUUUUCAAACCACUUGAUGAACUUAGGACUGCAAGAGCAUCUAGCUAGCUGACAUUUUGGGCUGGUAUAGCGUUAGCUUACUAGCUACGAUUAGUCACUGUAGCUAUGUCAAUUUUCAGACAAUGAAGAGAACGUCCACGGAUAUCUCUUCUUUCUUUAAGAAGAAAAGUAGUACAGUGGAGACGGAGCCGACAGGGGACGAGCAGCAGAGGAUAGGACGUUAGUGAGGAUGCAGUCGAAGAUGAUGUCAUUGAGCAAGCCAAUGAACAGGCAGAGGCCGUGAGAGAGCAUGACAGAACAUGACAGCAACGAACAGGCACAGGCAGCAUCAGUGACAGAGUACAGUGAAGAACAGACAGCAGCAUGGCACGAAAGUGCGGAACAGGCAGCAACAGUCACAGAGGUUGACAACCAAGCGAGGCAGGACUCAGCUAGAGCUAUUCAACCUGUUCCUGGACUAGCAGAUAUAUCCCAGUCAAGAGCAGAGGGGUCCCCCCUUCAGGGGGAUAGAAGACGGGGCUUCAUGAAAGAGUGGUACAGUACGCAUAAAUGGCUGGAAUACUCUCAGAGUAAAGACUCUGCCUACUGAUAUGUCUGCCGGCACUUCAUUCUCCCCUCCUCAGAAACUCUAUGUCUUUGUGUCAUGGUCAUAUGUGCACCAAAGGUGGCUAGAGGUACGAAGGGAGAUGUUUCAGCGAGCAUCCUGUCGGGCUGUUUCACUGCCUGGUAAGGCAAUUGCACCAUCCGCAACAGCAGGGCCAUAAAUGUUGAUGAUUUUAAUGGAUGUGUUUGCCAAAAGACACAGCAAAAGGCGAAUAAAGCUGUAUUGAAAAGAAUGUAGCCUAAUAAAGCAGGGAUAUGAAUAGGUUGUGUGUUGGCUAUAGUAAAAUGUACAAUGAUAAUGUUUUUUUUUCCAUUUUUGAACAUAUAAUAUUUUAGUUUACAAAAAGAC